GCGACAUCUGCAAUAUACUGAGCCGGCGUGUUCAUCCCGAGAGAGAAAGUCAUAGUUAGUGUUAAAUACUUCGUUAUUGACCAGAAGAAAUGCAUAGUGAACGUCGCACAUUUACUACCUACAUUAGUAUCGUUAUGGUGGCUUGCUUAGCCCAUGGGCUGUGAUGGCUGUGAACGAGGAACAAUAAGUGUUUUUGCUGUGAUCUGAUGUUGAGCUUCUUCAGUCUGUAGCAUGAGUCAUUGGUAGGCCUAUACAAGACUAUAGUCCUGGACAAUUUGAAAACCAUUUCAGUCAAAGAAGAAAAAACAGAUGAGAUGUGUGCUAAGCCGGGCACCGUGAAGUGACUGUAAUGGCAGAGAUGAAGGCUGAGAGAGGGAGUUUUGUGAGCGACCUGCGCAUGCUGCUGGAAGCUUAAAAUGGCGCAGACGUGACUCUGGCACCCAGCGGCUCGGAGCAGUCAGCACAGUCACAUCUCGGCAGGGAGGAGCCCCG